AAACAAAGCGUGAUGGCGGCCGCCGCCGCGUCGCCGUCGCCCAGAGGCACACCAAAAUUUGAAGGAUUUAGUGAAAAGAUAUACAGGAUUAUGGAAAAGUAUUAACAGAUACAAGUGAACAUAUGGAAAGUUUGAUUGCAAAGAGUAACAACAUAAUCCUUGAUGGGGAUUUCAACUGUAAGGUGUGUUGGGAGGGCUGGUCAACAGAAGGAAAUUAAAUGUCAUGGAGAAACAGGUUGCUGAAAAUAGUAAUGGAUAAUGUUCUUACAUAGUGGGUAUGGAAAAUACCAGAUUCAGAACCUUCAAGACUGAAUUUAUUGUUCACAAAAGAACCAGAAAUUAAUGAAGACCUCAACUACAGGACCCUGAUAGGGAGGUGACCACAUUUUACUUAAGUCUGGUAUAAAAGAAGAAAUGGAAAGAAGGAAGGAAAGAGGAUUACAGAAAAGGCAGGGAGAACUAUAGUAAAACAAAUUUCAGUGAAUUAAGGAAAUACUUUGAAGAAAUUGAGUGGAGUAAAUUUGAUGAAGCAAAGGGAGUGGAAGAAAAGUGGAACAAUUUGCUUGGGAUACACAAUGAAGGAAUAGAGAGAUACGUGCUAAAGACAUCUGCAAAAUGAUUUAGAGUAAAUGACUGGUUUAAUGGAAGAUAUCGGGAAGCAAGAAUGGAAAGAGAAAGAGCAUGGAAUAGAUGGAGAAGUAAUAAAAGAGGUGACCAGUGGAAGAAGUACAUGGAAGAAAGAAAGAAAUAUUUACUGAUAUGCAGGAAGGAGAAAAGAAAUUAUGAAAAGAACAUCAUAGACAAAUGCAGACCAACCAAAAUUAUUUUACCGAUAUGUGAAUGGGAAGUUAAAGAACAAACUUGGAAUAAUUAAACUACAAGUUGAUGGAGUGAUAUGUGAAAAGGCAGGAAGGAUGGCUGAAGUGAUGAAUAACUGUUUCCAGGUUUUUACAAGAAAGAGUGGUUUUCAGGAGCAGGUGGAUGUAGAGAUGAUUGACGCAGGAUUAAGUAAAAUAAAUGUUAUGGUGCAGGUGAAGAAGAUAAUAAAGGACCAAGAUGUAAGGAAAGCAAUAGGCCCAGACAGAGUAUCUAAUUCAAUUUUAGAGGAGUGUAGUCAGCAGUUGGCCGGAAAUAUCCACAGAAUCAUAAUACAUUCAUUAAAAGAGGGAAAGGUCCCAAUGGACUGGAAAAGAGUGGAUAUACUGCCAAUUUUCAAGGGAAGAAAUAAGGAAGACCCUUCAAACUACAAACCAGUGUCACUAACAAGUGUAGUGGCUAAGAUAUGUGAAAGAGUUAUAAAAGACAAAUGGAUCAAGUAUCUGGAAGAAAGCAAUGUGUUGACAAACAGACAAUUUGGUUUUCGAAGAGGAAGAUCAUGUACUACAAAUCUAUUGAGUUUCUGUUCGCAGGUUAUAGACAUUGUGCAGGAGAGAGUUGUACAGGUUGUAUUUAUUUGGACCUCGAAAAAGCAUUUGACAAAGUACUACAUAAGAGGUUGUUACAGAAACUGAAGAUUUGGAGGAUUGCAAGAAGGGCUGCUAAAGUGGAUGGAGAAUUUCUUGGAAGGUAGAGAGAUGAGAACAGUAAUUAAGGAUCAAAGCUCAGCCUGGAAGAAAGUUUUAAGAGGGGUUCUGCAGGGUCCUGUGUUGGCACCAGCAAUGUUUGCUGUGUACAUUAAUGAUAUGCCAGAAAAAAUAACCAGCUACAUUAGCUUAUUUGCAGAUGAUACAAAAUUAGUGAGAAAAACAGAAAAAGAAAAAGAUUGCACAGCACUUUCAUGGAACCUAAACAAGAUCUGGGAGUGGAGCCAAAGGAAGCAGAUGGAAUUCAAUGCAAAGAAAUGCAGUGUGACAGAAUUUGGCAAGAGUGGCAAGAGACAAAUGGGACAUUAUUCAUUGGGGAGUGAGAGAAUCAGCAAAAGAACAGAAGAAAGCGACUUUGGUGUAAUUAUUACUGAUAAGCUGUCACCAGAGAAACACAUAAACAAAAUUAGAAGUGAAACCUAUAACCUACUGAGAAACAUAAGGACAGCAUUUACAUAUCUAGAUGAGGAAAUGAAAGAAAAAAUUAUUGUGACCAUGAUAUGUCCAAGAUUGGAGUAUGCAGCUGUGAUAUGGUCACUUAGUGCCAAGAAAUCUAUAAAGAAAAUUGGAAGGGAUACAAAGAGCAGCAACAAAGUUACUCCAAGUUUGAAGGAUCCACCAUAUGAAGAAAGACUCUAAAUUGGGUCAUAUAACAUUGGAUCAGGGAAGAAAGAGAGGUGAUUUGAUCAUAAUGUGCAGAGUGAUGAGUUGAAUGGAAAACUUGGAUAGGAAGGACUGGGUGAUGUGGGAUACAAGAGGCUUGAGGGGAUAUGACAGAAAACUUUAAAAAAGAUGCUUGUAGAAGAGAUGUUAAGAAAAUAGCUUCCCACAUAGAACUGUGGAGGUCUAGAAUGAUUUGGACAAAGAAGUCACUGAUGCAAAUACAAUAAAUUAAUUUAAGACAAAGUUAGAUAAAACUAGAUAAGGAAGCAGAACUGCAUGAGCAUAGCCCUUUUCCUGUAUGUCACAACUAGGUAAAUGCGCACACACACACACACACACACACACACACACAGGACGUGUUUUCUAGUGCUCUGCAUAAAGAAGGAAGGAAGAACAAAAAUCGCUCAUGAUGGAACAAGAUAGGUAUGUUAUGAAGACACUGGAAUACCUAGUUGGUAAAUAGGGAGGGGAGAAACAGUACCGUGAGCAUAGCUAUCCUAUCUCUAGGAAAGUUUGGUUUGGUUUGUUUACAUUUUGGACAAUAUGGCAGAAGGCAGCACCCCAAGGUUUGAAGGUUUUACUGGAGAAGAAAGAGAACUAAAUUAUAGACUGCAGUAUAGAAAAAUUUUACAUAUGGAAGAAAUGAUGGACAAGUUAUUGGAAAGAAGACACUAGAGGCACACCAGAAGGAGACAGGUAAGGAGUUGGUGACUAUUACAACAAAGUUGAUUGAGAUGGAAAAUAAAAAUGAGAAGUUAAAGGUGGAAAAUGACUGUUUAAAGAAACAAAUAAAAGAAAAAGUAGAAACUGUUUAGAAAGGAAAUGAGGAAAUGAAGGAAAGUGUAAAGGAUGUGGAAAUGAGGCAAAAUAAGUGGUUAAAUGAAUGUAGAUUUGAAGAAGAAUCACUAAAGAAAAUAAUAGAACAACAAGAAAAUGAGAAACAAAACCUCAGACAGAAAGUAUUAAAUGUUAUUAAAGAAGAGAAAAAAUAAGUGAGACACAUUAUAGAAAAAUAUAAACAAGUAAAUGUAUUUGGUUUAAAGGAGGAGAAAAUAGUAAGCAUAAUCCAAAGAGAGGAAAAGAAAAAAGAACCUGUUAAAUAAGUUACUGAAGAAAGUGAUGGAUGAAGAUAGUUAGGUAGUAAAGCAAGUGGAAGAGUUCCACAGGAUUGGGAAAUAAGAAGAAAGAAAUGAGACCCCUAAGAAUCAGGUUUGCAAUACAGGUACAAGCAGAAGAGGUAAUAAAUGGGUCUUGGAGGUUGUCUGGAGAUGAAGAAUAUAAGAAUAUAUGGAUAAACAGGGAUAUGGAUGAGAUUGAAAGGUUGAAGCAAAAGCUGAUAAAUGAGGUAAAAAAGAAAAGAAAAGAAAAAAAGAACAACAAAUGGAGGAUAAAAGUUUUCUGGAGAGUAAGAGACAUGAUAAUAAAGAAAUGGAACAUCAAACAGUAAGUAAAAUAUGUUAUACUAAUGUAAAUGGAUUAAUGUCAACAAAGAUGGAAUUAAAUGAGUUAUCAAACAGAACUGCAGUUGAUGAUGCUGUAUUAUGUGAGGCAAAAUGGAAAAAUGAAUGGGGAACUCCUGACACUGGUGAUGAUGAAAUAUGAUUUAUGGAUGAAAAAUAGAAGUGGAAAGGGAGGAGGGGGAGUGAUCAUUCUGACUAAAAAAAUGUGUUAAAGUGGAGAAGGUAAUAAAAAGUGAAGACAAAUCUGAAAUUCUACAAGUGAUGAUGGAAAAGGAAGGAUAAUGAAUUAUGUAGGAGUGUAUGUGCAACCUAUGACCAAUGCUUGUCGAAAAGAAUAGCAAGAAGAGAUGUUGGUAGAUGUGUUAAAAGGUCUUGAAAAGAUAGUGAUGGAAAGUAGUGAUACAGUUACUUUUGGUUAUUUUAAUUGUAAGGAGAUAAAUUGGGAAACAUUGAGAACUACUGGAAGUGAAAACUCAUGGAGUAAUAGACUAUUAAACUGGGCGAUGGAAAACUUAAUGACUCGGGGCUGAUUGUGAUACCAGAUUUAGUGGAAGAGAUAAACCAUCAAGAUUUGAUUUAGUGUUUACCAAGGACAUGGAAAUUAUUGAAACUAUACAGUAUGGUAGCUCUCUAGGUAAAAGUGAUCAUGUGUUGAUGGAAUUUAACUUGAAAAAUGAAAAUAUAAUCACUGAUGAAAAUUAUAAGGUGAAAAGAUUUAAAUACAGUAAGGCUGACUUUGAAAAAUUAAGAAAAUACUUUGUUACCGUGGACUGGAAAGACUUUGAAGACACAGAAGAUGUUUGGGAUAAAAUGGGAUGAAUUUAUAAGGAUAUAUAAUUCUGCUGUGGAGAAGUUUGUACCUAGAGGAGGAGUAAGCUGUAGAAAGGGUAAACAAUGGUUCAAUACAAAAUGCAAAGAGGCUAGAAAUUGUAAGCUAAAUGCUUGAAAUAGAUGGAAGAAGAGGAAAAUUGAGGACAGAUGAGAGGAAUAUAUUGACGCUAGAAAUAAGUAUGUUGAGAUAAUAAGAAUGGAGAGAAGAAACUAUGAAAGAGAUAUAACAGAUAAGUGUAUAAAUGAACCCAAACUGUUCUUUAGACAUAUUAAUGGGAAGAUGAAAAAGGAAGGUGUAUCAAGAUUGAAAUUUGAAGGAAAAAUCUACGAGGAUGCACUGGACAUGGUGGAGGUUAUGAACAAUAGUUUCAGACUGGUAUUUACUGUGGAAGAGGAGUAUGAUGCUGGAAGGGAUAAGUUGGUGAGGAAUAUACUAAGUACCAGUCAGUAAUGAGGAAAUACAUAAGAUGAUGGAAGAACUUGAUGUAAAUAAAGCAACUGGUCCAGAUGGAGUAUCAAACUGGAUAUUGGAGGAAUGUAGAGAACAACUGGCUGAUAAAAUUCACACUCUAGUGGUGACAUCACUAUCACAGGGAAGGGUACUGAAAGAUUGGAAGAGAGGAAAUAAGGAAAACCCACUAAAUUAUAGACCAGUGUCCUUGACUAGUGUUAAAGGAAAAACAUGUGAAAGAACAAUAAAGGAAAGAUGGAUGAAACACUUGAAAAAAGGUAAAUUUUUGGCAAAUUGUCAAUUUGGAUUUAGGAGGGGAAGAUCAUGCUCCAUGAACUUAUUCUCCUUUUAUUCAAGGAUAAUUCAUAUUGUGCAGGAGAGAGAUGGAUGGGUAGAUGGUGUCUAUUUAGACUUGCAGAAAGCAUUUGACAAAGUACCACACUGAAAAUUGCUAUGGAAGAUAAAAAAAAAUAUGGAAAAAUUGGAGGAAGACUGCUGGAGUGGAUGGAGGAUUAUCUAGAUGAUAGAGAGAUGGGAAGAGUAAUAUAAGACUGGAAUUCAUCUUGGCUGAAAGGAACCAGUGGUGUCCUGCAGGGGUCAGUGUUGGGACCGAUAAUGUUUGUAACAUAUGUGAAUGACAUAAAUGAAGAAAUAAACAAUUAUAUGAACUUAUUUGCAGAUGAUGCUAAGCUGAUGAGAAGGGUAGAAAAUGUAAAUGACUGUAUGAUACUGAAAGAUGAUUUAAAUAAGAUAAAUAGAUGGAGUAAAUGGAAUUCAAUUUAAGUAAAUGUAAAGUAAUGGAGUUUGGUAAGUGUAAGUAAAGAAUACAAUAUCAUUAUGAGGUGGAUGGUGUGGUUACAAAAAUCAAAAGAGGAUUUUGGAGUAACAGUUACUGAAAAUUUGACUCUUGACAGACACACUGAUGAAAUUACUGGAGACAAUGAAUUUGUUGAAAAGAAUAAGAAUGGCAUUCACAUAUUUAGAUGAAGAAAUGAUAAAAAAAGUUGUUGAUUUCCAUGAUAAGACCAAGAUUGGAAUAUGUGGCAGUUGUGUGGUCACCUCAUAUAAAGAGGAAUAUCAUAAGAUUAGAAAGAGUACAAAGAGCAGUCACUAAGAUGGUUCCGAAGAUGAGUAAGUCAACCUAUGAGGAGAGAUUAAGAAUGUUGGAAAUUCCUACCCUUGAAAAUAGGAGAAAGAGGGGAUUUAAUAAACAUCUGUAGAAUGAUAAAUGGUAUGGAAAAUGGGGACAAAGAAUGUUUUAUAAAUUUACACAUGCAGAGUACAAAGGGACACAGUAAGAAGUUGAAGAAAGUUAACUGUAGAAGAGACAUAAAAAAGUAUAGUUUUCCUCACAGAAGUGCGAAGAAAUGGAAUGAACUCAGUGAAAAUGUUAUCAAUGCUGUAACUCCACGCUUUUAAGACCAAACUAGAUAGAUAUAGAGAUGGGACACUAUGAGAUUACUCCCCUCCUGUAAACCACAACUAGGUAAACACACACACACACACACACACACACACACACACACACACACACACACACACAUACA